CGGCGGACGGGUGAGUAACACGUGAGUAACCUGCCUUUUACACAGGGAUAGCCUCGGGAAACCGGGAUUAAAACCUGAUGAAACUAUCAAAUCACAUGAUUAAGAAAGUUAAAACUCCGGUGGUAAAAGAUGGACUCGCGUCCCAUUAGCUAGUUGGUGAAGGUAACGGCCCACCAAGGCAACGAUGGGUAGCCGGCCUGAGAGGGUGAACGGCCACAUUGGAACUGAGAAACGGUCCAAACUCCUACGGGAGGCAGCAGUU
rnacentral:rRNA from 1 species